UACGGGGGGGGCAAGCGUUGUUCGGAAUUACUGGGCGUAAAGGGCUCGUAGGCGGCCAACUAAGUCGGAUGUGAAAUCCCCAGGCUUAACCUGGGAACUGCAUCCGAUACUGGAUGGCUUGAAUCCGGGAGAGGGAUGCAGAAUUCCAGGUGUAGCGGUGAAAUGCGUAGAUAUCUGGAGGAACACCGGUGGCGAAGGCGGCAUCCUGGACCAACAUUGACGCUGAGGAGCGAAAGCCAGGGGAGCAAACAGG
rnacentral:rRNA from 1 species